rnacentral:misc_RNA from 1 species
GAUGAAGAACGCAGCGAACCGCGAUAGGUAGUGUGAAUUGCAGAAUUCAGUGAAUCAUCGAAUCUUUGAACGCACAUUGCGCCCGGCGGUAUUCCGCCGGGCACGCCCGUCCGAGCGUCGCUUGAACACCCCUCGGGCUCUUUAUAGGGCCCGGCGUUGGGGGACCGCGCUAAUCGCGUGGCCCUUGGAAGCUAUAGGCGGCGGCCUAUGGGCGUACCCUGCGUAGUAAUAUUGCUCGUAGAGGGACACCUAGGGCGCCUGCCACUGAACCUUCUGCCUCGGCGGAAAAUCACAAUCAAGACCUCGGAUCGGGUGGGGAUACCCGCUGAACUUAAGCAUAUCAAUAAGCGGAGGA